rnacentral:rRNA from 1 species
GAUGAACGCUGGCGGCGUGCCUAAUACAUGCAAGUCGAGCGAACGCACGAGAAGCUUGCUCCUCUGAUUUUAGCGGCGGUCGGAAGCGUACCACGUGGAUAACCUACCUAUAAGACUCGGUUAACUUCGGGAAACCGGCGCUAAUACCGGAUAAUAUUUUCAACCGCAUGGUUCAACAGUGAAUGACGGUCUUGCUGUCACUAAUAGAUGCAUCCGCAAUGCAUUAGCGAGUUGGUAAGGUAACGUCAUACCACGGCAACGAUGCAUAGCCGACCUGACAGGGUGCAGGAGCACAUUUGAACGGAGAACCGGUCAAGCCGCGUACGGGAGGCAGCAGUAGGGAAUCUUCCGCGAUGGGCGAAAGAAUGACGGAGAAACGGCGAGUGAGUGAUGAAGGUCUUCGGAGUGUAAAACGCUGUUAUUAGGGAAGAACAUAUGUGUAAGUAACUGUGCACAAAUUGACGGUACCUAAGCAGAAAGCCACGGCUAACUACGUG